AUGUCGUUCCCCUUCAACCACUCUCACGCCACCCACACCCACCACCGCAGGGACGACGACGACGACGAACGACCCACCGUUUACCCUCCGCCGGGAAACUCCUUCAGCAACCCGCCACCUCCGUUCUACGGCGUCCCUCAACCACCACCCCCUCAGCCGGAGACCCACGUGUUCCAUUCCGCUCACGUGACACCAGGACACGUGUCCCAUGACUUCAACAACUACUCCGCUCCCCCGCCUCCACCCCCUUCCCACCAUCAUCAUGAUCGUCAUCAUGACUCCUUCACCCACGCUUACCCACCUGCUCCCGCUGCAGCUGAUUACCCCGCUCACGGAGGCAGCAGUACCACCGUGCACCACGUGGCUCACGAGUCUCACCACCACACCCCCCAUUCCG
rnacentral:lncRNA from 1 species